CCGUCCACAAAAUAGCAGGAAUUUUUUUUUUGUUUUUAACUCUGCAUCUAUGCUGAUCCGCCAGAGCCUCAGUGGAACACCAUUCCAUAGAAGAAAAUAAAAUGAGGCUGGAGUGCAAUGGCGUGAUCUCGGCUCAUGCAACCUCCGCCUCCCAGGUUCAAGCGAUUCUCCUGCCUCAGCCUCCUGAGUAGCUGGGACUACAGGCACGCGUCACCACACCCAGAAAUUGCAAGAUCUGAACAGAUACUCUGUUUAAUGGGUGGUGCCUACAGAAGAUUUUCAGG